AUGAUUGCUCGCGCGAGGCUUGGCACAAAAGUGAUCUCGCGCGAACAGCCCUGCUGCGGUACUGAGGUAAACAGAAGAAAACUGCGGAUCCGCUUCGGACUUGGGUUUAAAGCGAUGGACGCGUUGGACAUGUUAUUACAGCAAACAGACUAUCACAAUUUUGAGAGAGAGGCUAAGUACCACUACCUCGCUAACUUUCCUCCAAGACAAGAGUCAGGAUACUACAGUGAGGUGAACAUCUUGGUUCUCAGGGAGGUUACUACCAAAUCUGUCUCUAUGAAGCUGCGGCGCAGGACAGUCCUGAGAAGCCGACGGCUUCGACAGCGAGAACAUGUGAAGGACUCUGAGAGCAUCUCUGUGGUGUUGAGGGACGCUGACUCUAGUCAGUCAGACAGUGUGGAAGAAAUAAAAGAUCAGGUGUCUGUUCUUCGUGAUAUGGAGCGGCCGGUAAGGAAGAGUAGAGCUGGUUCAUCUUGUCGCGUGAGAAAAGAAGGCGAGAGGCCGCUUUCUGAUGUGGAAGCACAACCUGGGACGGUUCAGAAGAUCUCCCUGGCUCCAGUAAGAUGCAGAGAGUGCGAGAGACUUUUCGCAAAGAUGAGAAAACAUCCCACCCCGGAAAAGAAAAGCAGAGAUACAGAUCCAGCAUCUUUAUCUUGUGAUGUGUGGGUUCUGCUUAAGAAGUGGCACCCUCAGAGACACCGUCAUCGAGAGAAGGGAUUAUUGUGGACGAGCCUGAGUCGGAUCAGGAAGCUGUUAGCAGGAGGCUCCGACUUUGCAGCUGUCAACAGAACAGAAGCAAACUGCUCCAGACCUCAUGUAUUUCAGCAGAGGAAUUUACGGCGCUGCAAGUAUCUGCUUUCCAUUCAGACCAACCGGUCCAUUACCAAAGCAAAGCCACGGCAUCGUAAGAGGUCACGAUCUGUGGUCUGGCCACCCCUCGCUGGCUGGACAUCUUCAGUGAAAAGGAAGCCUUCUUUGAACAACACAUUUUCUCAGCAGCUUUCUCCUCUCAACCUUAGUGUUAGGAUGACACAGGAGGACAAACUGUUUGUAGAUGAUAAGAUUUCAAGAUUAAAUGCAGAUUUGAAGCAGAACUCAGAUGCCUCCAGCGAACAGAGGACGACUAAUGUCCGUGGCAAACUGAACAAGCAGGAAGUGUUUGAUGGCAUAGAAGGAACGCGGCGGGUGCUGAAGUUUGAUGAAACGCCUGAAACUGUUGCUGUGGAAGCUGCGGAACAGAGGAAAAGCCCUCGGCAGAAGCACAAACGUGGAGUGAUUCGUGAAGCUCAGAAUGGUUUCCAGAAUGAGCAGCAGGAGGAGAUUUCUGAGGAUUCGGAUGGGUUCAGGACUCCCACAGAUCUGUUCAGCGUGAAGCCUAAAAUGAAAGGAGGGAACCAGAAGAAAGUCUCUGCCUCUGGUGUAACAAAACCUGCCGCUCAGAAGCCCAACUUCAUGUCCAUGUUAGCCACUCUGGUGAAGAAUCAGAAUCAGAUUAUUAAAGAGUCCUGCAAAUGA
ensembl:lncRNA